CUCUAUGGCAGGUCGCGCGGGGAGAUCCUCGCGAUCUGCCGGUUCCAAUGUUGCCGGUCUGUCAACCCCGCGUGACUUGCCACCCUC
rfam:Pseudomonas resinovorans NBRC 106553 DNA, complete geonome.